CGCUAAGCCUAAAUAUUCCCUGGUGACCGAUAGCGGAUAGUACCGUGAGGGAAUGGUGAAAAGUACCGCGGGAGCGGAGUGAAAUAGUACCUGAAACCGUGUGCCUACAAGCCGUGGGAGCGUCGGACAUCAGCUUGCUGGUGUCUCGUGACUGCGUGCCUUUUGAAGAAUGAGCCUGCGAGUUUGCGGUGUGUUGCGAGGUUAACCCGGGUGGGGUAGCCGUAGCGAAAGCGAGUCCGAACAGGGCGAUUUUAGUAGCACGCUCAAGACC
rnacentral:rRNA from 1 species